ACAUGAAUGACUCAGCGCAGUAUGAAGUCUUUGUUUUCUUCCGAAAACAAGCUCAAUGAGAGCCAUCGGGGGUAGAUCUAUCUCAUGACGAGUGGUGGAAUACUUUGACUCAUGAGAGAGAAGCUGAGGCGAAGGCGUCUACCUAGAGGGUUUCUGUCGAUCAAGGGCGAGAGUAGGAGUAUCCAACAGGAUUAGAGACCCUGGUAGUUCCUACCUUAAACGAUGCCGACAGGAGUUUGUCAUUUGUUAAUGGCAGAAUCUUUGGAGAAAUCAUAGUUCUUGGGCUCUGGGGGAACUACGACCGCAAGGCUGAAACUUGAAGGAAUUGACGGAAGGGCACACCAGGGGUGGAGCCUGUGGCUUAAUUUGAAUCAACACGGGGAAACUUACCAGGACCAGAUGUUUUUUAUGACUGACAGGCUUCGGGUCUUUCAGGAUAUUGUUUUUGGUGGUGCAUGGCCGUUGGUGGUGCGUGGGUUGACCUGUCUAGCGUUGAUUCAGCUAACGAGCGAGAUUAUCGCCAAUUAUUUACUUUGCCGAAGUCCUUCGGUUAAAGUUCUAAUUGGGACUCCCUGCGAUUUUAGCAGGUGGAAGAGGGUAGCAAUAACAGGUCCGUGAUGCCCUUUAGAUGCUCUGGGCUGCACGCGUGCUACAAUGUUAGGAUCAAUAGGACUGCGAGCCUGAGAGGGUGCGCUACUCUUAUAAUCCCUAACGUAGUUGGGAUUGACGUUUGUAAUCAGCGUCAUGAACCAGGAAUCCCUUGUAAAUGUGUGUCAACAACGCACGUUGAAUACGUCCCUGCCCUUUGUACACACCGCCCGUCGCUCCUACCGAUUGGAUGACUCGGUGAAAUCACCGGAUGCUUACGAGCAGAAAGUGAUUAAAUCACGUUAUCUAGAGGAAGGAGAAGUCGUAACAAGGUAACGGUAGGUGAACCUGCCGUUGGAUCAGUU
rnacentral:ncRNA from 1 species